UUUCUGAUCCCACCACCAGCACGUACUAAUUUUAGCUGAAGCAAAAUUGUCUCCCUAAAUGACUUAUGGCACCCUCUGUGUCGCCGACCAGCUGGGCGGAGGAGCCAAGGAGGGAAGGACCUUAGGGCCCCUUCCAGUCCCUCAAGGGGCUCCAGGAGAGGUGGGCAGGAGUCGUUGGAUGUGAAGGAACAGUUUUAAACCAAAAAUUAGGAGAUUUAGGUGCGGGGCGAAGAUGGCGGCGCAGAGGGAGGCGGAGGCGACGACGAGGACGAGGACGAGGGUGAGGGAGAGGGAACCGGGGAGCCCGGGGGAGGCUUCGGAUCUCUCCCCCAAAGUGGCGGCG
rnacentral:lncRNA from 1 species